rnacentral:rRNA from 1 species
GACGAACGCUGGCGGCGUGCCUAAUACAUGCAAGUCGAACGCGGGGGGGACGGGUGAGUAACACGUGGGUAACCUCCCAUCAGAGGGGAUAACACUUGGAAACAGGUGCUAAACCGAUACUGAUGGAUGGUACGGCGGUGCAUUAGCUAGUUGGUGAGGUAACGGCUCACCAAGGCCACGAUUCAUAGCCGGACUGAGAGGGUGACCGGCCACACUGGAACUGAGACACGGCCCAGACUCCUACGUGAGGCAGCAGUGGGGAAUAUUGGGCAAUGGACGAAAGUCUGAUCGAGCAACGCCGCGUGAGUGAAGAAGGCUUUCGGAUCGUAAAACUCUGUUGUUAGGGAAGCGGUAUCUAACCAGAAAGCCACGGCUAACUACGUGCCAGCAGCCGCGGUAAUAC